GCCUCAUUAUAUUAUAUGAGGUAGAACCUGCUCAAUGCGAAAGUAAAUAGCCGCAGUACUCUGACUGUGCAAAGGUAGCAUAAUAAAUUGGCCUUUAAUUGGGGUCUGGAAUGAAUGGUUUGACAAGGAUUUGACUGUCUCAAUUGAUAAAAAUUUUUGAAAUUGAAUUGUCUGUAAAAAUGCUGACAUAGAAAAGAGGGACGAGAAGACCCUAUAGAUCUUUCAAUAAACUAGGAGUUAAUUUGACUUUCUAGUUUAUUUUAUUUGGGGAAAAUCCUGAAAUAUUAAACUUCGGUUAAGUUUUAAAGAUUUAAAAAUUGAUUUUAGAUCCACUAAAAUGUGAAAAAAUGAAAAAGUUACCUUAGGGAUAACAGGACAAUGACUUCCUUGGAGAUCUUAUCCUAGGAAGCGUUUGUUACCUCGAUGUUGAAUUAAGUUAUCUCAUUAAAGGAGAAAUUCUUGGAGUUGGUCUGUUCGACCAUUAAAAAC
rnacentral:rRNA from 1 species